AAUGCCUUCUUUUUUCUGUCGGGGGCUUAUAUGCCCCUUCAUUUGUCUAUUUUCCUUACUCAUUGCACGGUGAUCCCCAUAAACUUAUAGCUUAAAUAGAAAUAC